rnacentral:rRNA from 1 species
GUCUACGGCCAUACCACCAUGAACAUGCCCAAUCUCGUUUGAUCUCAGAAGCUAAGCAGGGUUGGGCCUGGUUAGUACUUGGAUGGGAGACCACACUGGAAUAUCAGGUGCUGUAGAUA